CACAAUCUCGAGAAUCCCGCCUUCCAUUAUUCCCUUCUCCAUCUAAACCCAAUUUUGGUUUUUUUUUUUUUAUUAAGAAGAAAAAAGGAAAACCAAGCGGCAAAGCAGAUCCAUCAAUGGGUUGAGAAGAAAUCGUGAUUAAACGCAAAGCAGGUUACAAAGUUCGUAUGUGUAUGAUGAAUACAAGUUUCUGAAGGGGUAAGCUGGUCGGUGGUUUCACCAGAGGCAGUGACAUUGUUUUGUUACAGGUUUGUUGUUGCGGGUGGUGGUGGGAUAGAUUUCCUUGAGCAGUUUAGGUGGUCAGAUAUGCAGCGGUGGAGAGGGGAGACAGGAGGGGGGUAUUCAAAAUUAUCAUGCUUGUAACUUAUUUGUCAUGUUUCUUGUAAAUUUAUCAUGUGUACAAUAAUGUGUAGUUGAACGGUUUUUAUAUAUGUUUAUGGUGAAUUUGCAAAAAUAACCCAUAAAAAAAUGGUCGAUUUUAUGUUCCAAA